rnacentral:rRNA from 1 species
AGCGAACGCUGGCGGCAGGCCUAACACAUGCAAGUCGAACGGAUCCUUCGGGAUUAGUGGCGGACGGGUGAGUAACACGUGGGAACGUGCCCUUUGGUUCGGAACAACUCAGGGAAACUUGAGCUAAUACCGGAUGUGCCCUUCGGGGGAAAGAUUUAUCGCCAUUGGAGCGGCCCGCGUCUGAUUAGCUAGUUGGUGAGGUAACGGCCCACCAAGGCGACGAUCAGUAGCUGGUCUGAGAGGAUGAUCAGCCACACUGGGACUGAGACACGGCCCAGACUCCUACGGGAGGCAGCAGUGGGGAAUCUUGCGCAAUGGGCGAAAGCCUGACGCAGCCAUGUCGCGUGAAUGAUGAAGGUCUUAGGAUUGUAAAAUUCUUUCAGCGGGGACGAUAAUGACGGUACCCGCAGAAGAAGCUCCGGCUAACUUCGUG